GUGUCAGCAGCCGCGGUAAUACGUAUGGGGCAAGCGUUAUCCGGAUUCAUUGGGCGUAAAGGGCGUCUAGGCGGCUUGGUAAGUCAGGUGUGAAAACUGGGGGCUCAACCCGCAGCCUGCAUCUGAAACUGCCAGGCUUGAGUCUGGUAGAGGAAAGUGGAAUUCCCAGUGUAGCGGUGAAAUGCGCAGAUAUUGGGAGGAACACCAGUGGCGAAGGCGGCUUUCUGGGCCACGACUGACGCUGAAGCGCGAAAGCUAGGGGAGCAAACAGGAUUAGAUACCCGAGUAGUCC
rnacentral:rRNA from 1 species